rnacentral:sRNA from 12 species
AGAUGUGCUCGUAGAGUAACGAGCAGGGUAAACAAAAGAAAUGCUCAUUAAAG